GGUAACUUUACGUCGAUGUGUUUCACACAGGCAAAUAUCUACAACUGUUGAAGUGUAAACAAUAAUAUUAAAAUGCAUAUUAAGCAGAUUAUAAUACAAGGAUUUAAAAGUUACAAAGACCAAACAGUGGUCGAGCCCUUUGACAAGAGGCAUAAUGUGGUUGUUGGAAGGAACGGUUCUGGAAAAAGUAAUUUUUUUUAUGGUAUUUAAUUUUCUUAAAUUUAGUAGAAGCAUUAAGGACUUAUAUUAUUAACUAAAUCGAAAACAAGCAUGAAAGUUCUAAAAUUCGGCUGUACCCAAAAGUUUUCAUUUUCUUAUUUUCUGAAGCACAAGGAAUUGCAUUAUGGAGUUUGCAUGGCUGCGAUUUA